rnacentral:rRNA from 1 species
UCCUACGGGAAGGCAGCAGUGGGGAAUAUUGCACAAUGGGCGAAAGCCUGAUGCAGCGACGCCGCGUGAGGGAUGACGGCCUUCGGGUUGUAAACCUCUUUCAGCAGGGAAGAAGCGAGAGUGACGGUACCUGCAGAAGAAGCGCCGGCUAACUACGUGCCAGCAGCCGCGGUAAUACGUAGGGCGCAAGCGUUGUCCGGAAUUAUUGGGCGUAAAGAGCUCGUAGGCGGCUUGUCGCGUCGGUUGUGAAAGCCCGGGGCUUAACCCCGGGUCUGCAGUCGAUACGGGCAGGCUAGAGUUCGGUAGGGGAGAUCGGAAUUCCUGGUGUAGCGGUGAAAUGCGCAGAUAUCAGGAGGAACACCGGUGGCGAAGGCGGAUCUCUGGGCCGAUACUGACGCUGAGGAGCGAAAGCGUGGGGAGCGAACAGGAUUAGAUACCCUGGUAGUCCACGCCGUAAACGGUGGGCACUAGGUGUGGGCAACAUUCCACGUUGUCCGUGCCGCAGCUAACGCAUAAGUGCCCCUCCUGGGA